CGACUUCAAAAUAUAAAAUCUUGAUCUUUCUGUUGUUGUUACUCCUACUUUUUAAGAAGCAACAAAAAAUGGAAUUCUCCAUUUUCUCUAAAAGCUCCAAAGACUUCUGAAAACUACUUCUGAUUUUGAGUGGCAGAGGAGUAAAAAGACCCCUAAACAUGAGGAGAAAGAAGAAUCCGUAGGGCUCUGCUGUCCACGUGGGAUGAGAUUCCAAAAGCACCAUUCUUGUUCAAUCUCCCUCAGAGUCACACAGCCCCAAAGUGCUCAGUAUGAUUCAGAGGCACUGAAAUCUCCCAAAGAAUAAAUAAUAAUAAUAAACCCCAGGUAUGUGGCGCUUUCCACGUUUUGCAGCUGCUGUUUAAUCACGAAGUUUUCCCUUAAAGCCGAGCCCACAGUGAAUUCUCUCCCCGACUCGAUCUCAGCGCCAAUUCCGUCUCUGGCCAGUAGAUGGCACCAUGCAUUCAUUGUACAGGAUGGAGGCCAGAAAGAAGUGAAAUUUCAUCCCAUCAAAAGAGCAUACACCCAAUCUGACACACAAAGGUCAGGAAUUAAAUUCGGAGGGUGCACCUUUCUCCUCGUGUCACCCUUCCAAAAAAAUAAAGGCCGUGGAGCAUGCUGUGCUAUACACUGAGAUGCUAUCAGCAGCUGCACCUAACGCGUCCCCAGCUCGCCCUGUCACUGACCUACAUUGCCUUGUGACUUCUUGUGAGAUUAAAACCAAAAAGAUAACCUUUUCUCCAUCCUCCAUAGCUCUGAACAGCGGCACCACCAGAGCAGGUCUCCCCUCCACUGGAAGAAGUCAGGAACGACCACCUGUGAGUGCAGAGGCCGGGAGGCAGGGCUGGAGAUACAGCCCCACCGGUUGACCUCACCUGGGGCAUCUGCUCCAUGGACAAAGCCCCAUUAGCUCUGAUACUGCAGCAUUCCGUGAGCUAACCACAGCUUGUUGGCAAGCUGACUACAAAGAGGUGGAGGAAAGUUUACAGGCCACUUUCUGCUGUGCAAACUGCGACACUUCUACCUGGAAUUGUAGAGGCAGCCCCUACCACGUUGUUCAGCAGUGCCCUUGAACUCCAAGGAGCACGAUGUGAGGCCAACCAUUGCCACAGCAGCAUCUGCCUGCCAGUAGGCAAGCUGUGCUCAGAGGAGCAGCUCGGCCCACCUGGCUGUCCCUCUUUGCUCCUGGCCCAGCCAAGCUCACCCUAACCAGAGCCAUGGGACAACUGGUUUGCCAGCAGCACUUGCCUGGCACCUCCUCGUGCCCACCCUGCUGCUGUAGGGCUGUCCUGGCAGGUGCUCAGCAUAGAGAAGUGUGCACAGAAGCAUGCAAGAGACACGCAAGGUGUGCUCAGCCCCAUCAAAAAUCUACUGCCUCGAAUGUGGGCUUUCUGUGCCCAUACGUAUGAAUGGUGAGUGUGAAAAUCCUGUCCACUUAAGAAGAAUAAUUCAGACAACAGUAUCAACCAUGGCACAGAGCGACAUUUGAAGACAGAGAGCAAAGUAGCACAGGGGGGAAAAGAGAAGCCUAUCUCACACAGCAUGGAGCCAUCCUGUCUCAGGCCAUGGAGAAGGUGCCAUGCAUCUGUCCCCUCAGGGCUCACAAGCCUUUUCUCUACCUGGCCAACCCUCACUGCUUUCCCAGACUACCCAGCAGACACAGCUCAGGAAUUACCAGCACCAUUAGCAGUGACACCAUUGAUUGAGCAUGAGCAAUACCAGCUUGGAUUUUGCCACCAGUCAGUGCUCAGUAAUGGCACAGCACAAAGGCCCCGCUUGUAGGGUGAGAAGGGCUGUCUGUUGCCUGUCCCUGGAGCAAGGCGUGAGUGGGCUUGACUGAGAUGGCAGCAACUGCACCGUCACAAGCCAUAGUCUUAGGAAAAAGGCAGAACAGUGGAGAUUAAAUGACAGCACUGAAUCAAAGAAUGACUCUCCCCAGAGGCUGGGACAGUCCAGGCUUCCCUGCGACACCUGCUAGAGGCACGCAGGAAGGCCUGGAGCAGUCCCUGGGGAGCUCUGGCAGCCACAGGCCGAGGGGCAGCCUUCAGACACAGCUGCAGGACAGCAGGGCCCACAGCCAGGCAUUGGGCUGCACGUCCGCUUCUCGGCCUGCUGUUACGGGCUGAAAAACAACCAUGUGCCCUAUGGCUGCUUAGGACACGGCCACCCUUUCCUCUGGCUGCUUCUCCAGCUUACACAGACUAGUAAAAUAAUUUUUUGCAUGAGAAGGAGGCAUGAGAGACAUGAUUUUCACCUGAGAGACAUGGCCUCAGCUGCAGCCUAAGCACCUGCAUAGCCAUGUUUUCCACAGGCAGGGACAGAGCCGAGCCAGGGAAGGCUGAGCAGUGCCUCAGGCCACACAGCGAAGUUAUGAAACAAAAACAAUGACCUGCUUGAAAAUCAGUCUGAAAUACAGCAACCUGCAACUUCUGCUCAGCUCAAACAAACAAAAACAAGGGUUAGCAUUAUACAAUGCAGUGGCAGGGAGGAAGUGGCCAGCAACAAUAUCAACCAAUUUAUGCAGUCAUUCACAUUUGUUAUCAAUACUAGAUUGCUUCCCUGUAGACUUUCUUCCUCAUCAGGCACCUAUUUCAAUUAUAUUACAAUUUCCUCUCAGCUUCAAGUUGGACAAAAGCUUUUCAAAGCUAGCUGUUUAAAAGUGGAAAACUAUUCUCUUCAGCACGGUUUAGGGAAAAUAAUGCUACUUGUGCUACAGCGUAUUAGCAAUAUACCACUAGGAACUGCACUUAGCAAGAAAAGCUAGUGACCAAAAUACAUCCUUGGGACGCCCAGAGCAUGUGGCUCCUUGUGGCUGCUGCUUCCAAAAGGGAAGCACAGGGCAGCCAGCACCCUGCUGCCACCCCUGCCUCCACCAUGCCCCUUCCACAGCAGAAGGCCUGUAGCAUCACUCUCUGGUUCUCAGAACUGCUGAUAUUCCUGAUUUUAUGUGCACCUGCAGUUGGCUAUUAUUUAGACAGCUUUUGUAUUAUUACAGGGUAGCCAUGACUGACCUCACCGUAAGCACUGCUGAGCAGCUGAGAAAUUCACUGGACAAACAUAAACACACUAUGCAUGGUUUUCGAGCAGUAUUUCACUGGAAGAAAACAAGGCCAAGCUAAUCAGGACUCCACGAGGCACAAUGGGGAAAGAAGCCAGCUGGCAGCAGACCCAAACCCCUGAACUUUUUAUUUUGGAAGAAGAAGUUCUGCAAGCAAAAGAAUCAGGGAGCUGCCUUUGUGCCAUCAGGAGAGCAACCAAUGACCCAGUUCUGCAAAGGAAGCUUCUCAGCAGAGCUGGGACGACUGAGCUGAUUCAGUCUCAGCCUGCCCUGCCGGUUCUCAGUACACGUGCUCUGACUCUUUACUAGUUAGCUAUGCACACACCCCUUCCCACCGUUUUUUUUCUUGUGACUAUUUUGUUUAAGGUUGUCACCUUCUUAUUACCUUCACAUUUCAAGGCAAUAAUAAAUCAAAAUUAAUAAAAUCUCUCAGAAUAAAAGUCUGCCUUCAAGACCGUAUUCCUCACCUUGUUUUCUGCUUUCCUUCAUCUCUACUGCAACACAAGGAGGAACAAGCAAGAGAAAGAGAUGGUUUACACAGCGACGGCACAGGAAAACAAAUCCACCAGUCUCUGAAGUACUGCUCUUGUCCUCAUUCACAGAAUUAAACUCUAUUCUUAUGGAUCUGCUAAACUCCUGCCUAGUUAAACAGAACGUGGAUUUAAGCAACUACAGCAAUCACACUCCUGCCAGCAAGUUUAAAUUUAAAGAUCAAAAAGCACGCAGUGUUGAGAGAAAUAAUCUUCUCCAAGUCUAAGGAACUUUGUACAAAAGAAUUUAGUUAUUUUAAA
rnacentral:lncRNA from 1 species